CCUCGUGUGUCCCACCGUGACCUGCCGGGGAUCAACCCGGAGCUGUGGAAGGAGCGCGUGUCAUGUGGGGUCGGCAAGACUGAUAUUGACAUCGGGGCAGCCGAGCGCAUAUCACCCUGUGUCAUGUGCACCUGUACCAAGGAAGGGAAUUGAAUGGCUGAACGGACAUCUCUGGCGUCUUGGUCUGCCUGCGGCACACUGCACACUCUGGAAGAAAGAACACCAAGAUGUCAAGUUCCUGCAGAAUCAGCCUCUUAGUGAAGAAAAUGUGCCUUAUUUAUUUAAUAAAUAAUUGACAAAAAAAAUAA